GAACUCUGAAGGAGAAUGGACCGUAUCAUGGCUAUGGCUGUCAAGAUUUCAGAAAGAUAAAGAAAGUUAAUGAUGGUGGGGAAACGAAGAAGUGGACACACACUUACUUGGUCUGACUUUUUAUCAGUGCACUAGACUGCCUCAGCACAAUUGAAAAUAUUACUGAUGGAAAAUCAUGAAGAUCCUCUGAAGAUGCCAGCCACAGAAGCAGACGAAACAUCAGGAGAAAAUACUACUGGAACGUACAACCAUAUGGGCCAUAUAACCUGGACAACCCACAACCUCUAGUGAUUCCAGCCAUGAAAGUCUUCGAUAAUACAUUAAUUGAGAUCUAUUCUUUACCUGGUCCUUAAAUUCUUCUGAUUGUAGUUUAGCACCAUGAAUGUUUUGAUGUUUUUCUUCAACAUUAUUUGAAUUUUCAGCACUAACAGUUCAUAAUCUGUACCACAAAAAGUUCCUAGUCUUGUUUUAGCUGAAAGAAUAGAGCAUCUCCAUCUUCUGCUUCUGAUUAUGUAUCUAUUUGAUUUCAGUAUUGGCCGUCCAAUGCUGUCCAUACAUACAGUCAUAAAUACAGUUGCCUGAAACAUGUGUUCACAAUGAACAAAGUAUUGUCUUCACAGAAUUCUAUGGGUCAUUCUCGUGCUCCAUUUUGUGCUCCUAGCCCAACUUUUCUGACCAUUUUUAUUCUACUUCUGCAUUCUAGACACCUAAAAUUAUCAGCACAAAUUGUUUUGGUGUACAGUCCAU